rnacentral:lncRNA from 1 species
GGGAUCAACAAAUGAUAUCAGAGUUAGGCUGCAAGUUCUUCGUGACUUGAUUGGGAUUUUUUAAAGAUGGCUACAUUGAAAUAUGAUAUUUAGCUGUUGGAUCCCAAUACAAGAUUUUCUCUGUGGCAAGUAAAGAUGAGAGCUAUUCUGGCACAAUUGGAUUUGGUAUGCGCUGCUAGAUUUUGAGAAAAUACCAAUUAAUUGGACAACAGAGGAGAAACAACGGAGGGAUCGGAAGGCCUUAUUGCAUAUUCAUCUUCAUUUAUCCAAUAAUGUAUUCCCAUCGCAUAGCGAAAGGUGGGCCACUAGAAGACCACGUUGCUGUUGUGUUUGCUUUCUACCUCUUAUUCAUCAUUUCGAAGCACCAUCUUUUAUAGUUACGAUACUUUGACCAUUAAGGAUGUUUACAAUACUUUGUUCUCAAAGGAGAAGAUGAAGCAUUUGGUUGGUGCUACAUCGAGGGAUAAGGAAGCUCUAAUAGCUCAUGGUGAUCGAUGGAAGCGUAGUUCGAGGAUGAAUUUAAGCAAUUUGUACUAUUUCUACUACGGGAGGAAAUGACACAUUAAGAAAGAUUGCGAUAAGUUGCAAUCUAAAGAUAAUUUAGCUCGAAAUCAUAGGAAGCAAUCAUGCAAUUUGGGCGAGACUAAUGUUACCAUGGAAUCAGCCUAGGAGACGCAUCCUGUAACUCUGAUGAAAGCAUCCUGUAACUCUUGCCUAGAGGACACGUCUAGUAAUCCUAGUGGACGUCCGAUAUGGUAGGUUUGUCCAAUGGUCAACAAAUUGAACUUUCUAACUUCUGAACAAAAAACGGUUAGUUGAUUUUCCGAUAAGCUAGAGGACAUCCGGUAGUCUCGUCCAGUAAGACAGAAAAAUUUUGCUGCUAUAAAUACCAGAUCAUUUUGCAUGCAAAGAAAGACCUUUUGGAGCAUUAAAGUGAGAUAUUAUUGAUCUUAACUGCUCAAUC